AUUGGUUUGGGUCCCGCACAAGCGGAGGAGCAUGUGGUUUAAUUCGAUGAUACGCGAGGAACCUUACCAAGGCUUAAAUGGGAAACGACAGAUUUGGAAACAGAUCUUUCUUCGGACGUUUUUCAAGGUGCUGCAUGGUUGUCGUCAGCUCGUGCCGUGAGGUGUCAGGUUAAGUCCUAUAACGAGCGCAACCCCUGUUGCUAGUUGCCAGCGAGUCAUGUCGGGAACUCUAGCAAGACUGCCGGUGCAAACCGCGAGGAAGGUGGGGAUGACGUCAAAUCAUCACGGCCCUUACGCCUUGGGCUACACACGUGCUACAAUGGACGGUACAGAGAGCAGCCACUACGCAAGUAGGAGCGAAUCUACAAAACCGUUCUCAGUUCGGAUCGGAGUCUGCAACUCGACUCCGUGAAGCUGGAUUCGCUAGUAAUCGCAGAUCAGCCAUGCUGCGGUGAAUACGUUCCCGGGCCUUGUACACACCGCCCGUCAAGCCAUGGAAGCUGGGGGUACCUGAAGUCGGUGACCGCAAGGAGCUGCCAGAGUGUAACAGC
rnacentral:rRNA from 1 species